rnacentral:pre_miRNA from 1 species
GUCUCCUUUGGGUCUUUUUGCGGUCUGGGCUUGCUGUUCCUCUCACUAGUAGUCAGGAAGCCCUUACCCCAAAAAGUAUCUGCGGGAGGCCUUGUCCACAGGGGAGAUCCC